rnacentral:rRNA from 1 species
UACGUAGGCAGCGAGCGUUUGUUCGGAGUUACUGGGCGUAAAGCGUGCGUAGGCGGUGUUCCAAGUCUGUUGUGAAAUCUCCCGGCUUAACCGGGAGGGUGCGGCGGAAACUGGGACGCUGGAGUGCGGGAGAGGUAAGCGGAAUUCCUGGUGUAGCGGUGAAAUGCGUAGAUAUCAGGAGGAACACCUGCGGUGUAGACGGCUUACUGGACCGUAACUGACGCUGAGGCACGAAAGCGUGGGUAGCAAACAGG